rnacentral:rRNA from 1 species
GAUCUCCACACUGUCUCGGCCAGAGACUCGGUGAAAUUGCAGUCGCGGUGAAAAUUCCGUGUACCCGCAGAAAGACGGAAAGACCCUGUGCACCUUUACUAUAGCUUGACAUUGGAUUUUGGGCCUGCAUGUGUAGGAUAGGUGGGAGGCUGUGAACCCUGUACGCCAGUAUGGGGGGAGCCAUCCUUGAAAUACCACCCUUGCAUGUUUAAGAUCCUAACUUCUUCCGGUUAUCCCGGAGAAAGACAGUGUCUGGCGGGUAGUUUGACUGGGGCGGUCGCCUCCUAAAGUGUAACGGAGGCAUGCAAAGGUUCCCUCAGCCUGAUCGGAAACCAGGCGCUGAGUGCAAACGCAUAAGGGAGCUUGACUGUAAGAGAGACAUCUCGAACAGGAACGAAAGUUGGCGUUAGUGAUCCGGUGGUCCCGAAUGGAAGGGCCAUCGCUCAUUGGAUAAAAGGUACGCCGGGGAUAACAGGCUGAUCGCAUCCAAGAGUUCACAUCGACGAUGCGGUUUGGCACCUCGAUGUCGGCUCAUCACAUCCUGGGGCUGAAGCAGGUCCCAAGGGUACGGCUGUUCGCCGUUUAAAGUGGUACGCGAGCUGGGUUUAAAACGUCGUGAGACAGUUUGGUCCCUAUCUUCUGUGGGCGAAGGAGAAUUGAGAGGGCCUGUCCCUAGUACGAGAGGACCGGGAUGGACGCACCCCUGGUGAUUCUGUUGUCGCGCCAGCGGCAUAGCAGGGUAGCUAUGUGCGGAAGGGAUAACCGCUGAAAGCAUCUAAGCGGGAAGCCUGCCUCAAGAUAAGUUCUCCCCUCGAAAGAGCUGAAGGGCCCGGGUAGACUACCCGGUCGAUAGGCUGGAGGUGUAAGCGCGGCGACGUGCUCAGCUGACCAGUACUAAUAGCCCGAGCGGCUUAUUUUU